rnacentral:rRNA from 1 species
AUGUUGACCGACCUCAAUGGUCGAUCUGUAUGCAUAUGCAGGGGUCUUCUAUCUGCUGGUAAAAGAACUCAAAGCAUGCUCGACGCGAUCGGACACAUCGAUCCGACUGCGCCGGUGUACCAUUGGAAAAUCAAUAGGUGUGAUGCUCUAUUGCGGGAAGUCAUGGGAGAAAAUCUUUACAAGGAAGUGAUCGUCGCGGCGCCAAAGGAGGACGAAGGCGAUUUUGGCUGCAUCGUCAUCCGUGGGAAUGAAGUUCUUCACGGAGUUGCCAACUUCAUGGAAAAUAAGAAGCGGGGCAUGAAGUUGUAG